AUAGGGAAACACUGGGCUGCAUUUGCGUUUCAUGUCGUCACCACCACAUGUGGGAAGAGGAAGUUGGGCUACAACUCUGACAUGCUUUCAUUUGUUGUUUUCCUCAUCUUCAGCAAAGUCACCCCAAUGUGAGUGCUUAUAACCUGUGUGAUGGUUGCCGCUUCACUGAGACUCCUCUGGGCAAUGUGUGUUGGCUGCUUAGCCACAGAUUCCAAUAAGAUAACAGUCACCCAAACACCAACGGAAAUGCACCUAUCUAUUGGAGACUCCACUGAAAUAGCCUGUAUUUGGGAAAAAUCAGUUAAGAGAUAUAGAAUCAUCUGGUAUCUUGUUAAUAAAGAGAAUGUUACCAAAACUGUAUCAUCGAAUCUUAUCUAUGUACACAACGUCACCCAUGAAAACAAGGAUGUCCUAGCGAUUAAAGCUGCAACUGCAAAUGACACUGGGUUUUACUACUGUGAGAUAAUUAUUGAAAUACCUUUCUGUAAAAAAGUGUAUGGAAACGGAACAACGCUGGUCGUUGAAGAGCAAGGUAAGAUUGCAGAGAAGCGCAGUCAUUGGAGAAGAAAGUGUCAGCAGUUUGGGCCAUCAUUCCCAUCAUUCCUUUCUUAGUGGCAAUGGGAAGCUUAUAUUUUUGCUACAAAAAGAAACAGAAGUCAACAUUUUCUGGUUCUGCCCAGCUUCCUGCACCAGAAAGAGAGUAUCAGGAGGAGCAGAUACUUGAGGUGGCAGAAAUUUAUGGAAGAGCUGAAUCCACCAGCGAAGAAGCUGGAUGGGUAAGUGGUUUGUGAAAAGGCUUUCUCUUGCUGUGAGGAAAAAAAUUUCAAAAUGAGGCACUGGGGAGUAUGUACUGAACUGAAUGCAUGCAGUGAUAAGCUGCAGGUCCAAGAAUGGCAUCUUACUGCAUAUGAAGAAGUUCUGAAGCACAAAAGUGAAAAAUAAGUGUUUUAAGAGCCAGCACUCUGAAAUAAGGAAAAAGACACAGAAUACUAGGAAAGUAUUGGUUUCAGUUGUUAAAUUUGUUAUGUUCAAUUACUCUGGAAAGAAAGGCAGCAAAAAGUGGAGAGCAUCAAUAUAAAUACUGGCUGAAAAAAGUGCAGGAGAAGUAAAAAAUGGCAAUAAUGUUGUUUACAUAUAUUUGCAUUCCAAGUUCAGCUCAAGGGGCUUGGACCAGCUUCGGGGCAAAAGGCCACUACUGCGUGCAGCACUUGCUGAGAGCAGGUAGAUCUGAGCAUUCUUUAUUAAAGCAAAAACAGACAACCUCCAGAGGGAAGUGCUGGCUUUUUGUCUUCACACUCUACAACACCUACCUUUUUACUGUUUUACAGUCAGAAUUUUAUUUGCUUUGUGUCUGUGAGCUCAGACCUUUGUGCAUGUUUCAGGGGGAACAUUAAUUCUCAGGUUUUGCUGAAGAACUGACGUGAAGUUCCCAAAACCUACAUGUGCUUAGGAAUUGAAAAUACAUUGGUUUCUGCACAGCCCAGAAGAACAACUGAAUACCGCUCGGUUUGCUGGUUUACUGCAUCAGAAAGCAUCCACCUGGAAGGAACAAUGUGGCAGAUUAUUUUUUUAGAAAUAUCGAAGCUGAAAGAUUAAGGGGAUGAAAAAGCUUUUGUAUUGCAGAUUUCAUAGAGCCUUGUUUACACCUGAGCUCACAUCUUUGGUAUCCUAAGUGAGUACUUUGAGUGUGCUUUGUUAACUAAGAACUGAAUCCCAGCACAGGGAGACUUUGCCAUUCAGUGUCAGUAAUUUCCCUCUAAAAUUAUAACUCCACUCUUCUGUGAUGUGUCCGGUGCUCCUCCCUCUUUUCACUUGGGCUAUGCUAUAUAUUGUGUCUUGGGUGUAAGGUUCAUUUUAAGUAGACUUUAAUGGUAAGAGUUUUGACUGGAAUUUUCUUUGCUUUUUAAGGCUGUGUCUACGAUUUAUAACUCACUGGAUUCUUUUUACAAAACAUCAAACUAAAAGAUGACAAAUCCACUGUCGCUACUGGACCCAGUGCAGCAGAUGAGCAAAUCCCAUAAACUGGAGCAGCUGCAAAGUCUGGAACAAGAGUGUGAUGAGAACCUUCCAUCUGCUUUGACAUGCAGAACUAAAGGACCAUGUAAUAACUACAGUGUGGCUAAAUAUCUUAUGGAACUGAAAACAAUAUUGUAAUGUGCUGCUGAAAUGUAGAUUGCAUGCAUUUCCUGUGAGAAGCAUGUCAGAAGAAAGGUUGGUUCAACACCAUUUUCUGAAUGUAUUAUCACUGACUUUAUUGUGAGGAGUCUCAGAAUUUUGAGAGCAAUUUUAGAAAACUGCCUUCAGCUCAACUGUCUUGAGUUGGACUGAAUGAUCCUUGUGGGUCCCUUCCAACUCAGGAUAUUCUGAUUCUAACUCUUCCCCCAUAUCCAGAGUGUGGAAAUAAUAUAGGAUGCAUUACAUUUUGAAAAAUCUUCUGGACUGAACAACUUUCUCUGAACAGCAAAAGCAUUUCUUCAGGUAGCCCCUCUGUGAAUCUGUCUUUCAGGCUGAGAGAGCUUGGGCCGCCCAGCCUGGAUAAGAGAAGGCUCCAGGGAGACCUGAGAGCGGCCUUUCAGUGCCUAAAGGGG